rnacentral:pre_miRNA from 1 species
AAGCCCUUUUAUUAUUUGUAGAAGUGAUCUUAUUGAUCUAGCAAUAAUGAAGGGCUUGC